rnacentral:rRNA from 1 species
GCAUGGUAGAAGUAUCAAAGCUUUUGCGGUACAGGAUGGACCCGCGUCUGAUUAGCUAGUUGGUAAGGUAACGGCUUACCAAGGCGACGAUCGGUAGCCGACCUGAGAGGGUGAUCGGCCACAUUGGAACUGAGAUACGGCCCAGACUCCUACGGGAGGCAGCAGUCGGGAAUAUUGCGCAAUGGAGGAAACUCUGACGCAGUGACGCCGCGUGCAGGAAGAAGGUUUUCGGAUUGUAAACUGCUUUAGACAGGGAAGAAAAAAGACAGUACCUGUAGAAUAAGCUCCGGCUAACUAC